rnacentral:lncRNA from 1 species
GGGGCUCCCAGUAUGUCUCAAGGCCCGGAACGGACUAACCUCGUGAGUGUGGCAGGGUGGGGAACCCAAGUUUCAUAAGUCACCACGGGUGCAAGACUCGCCAUAGCCCGACUAUCAUUUUAAAGUCCGGACGAGUCAAGUCUAGAAAUUAACAUGCUUAGGUUGUGUUUCUUAAACUGUUUGAUGUGAAGUUGUCUCUAGA